UGGGUAUACCCCAUCCUCCUUCUGAGGUGGGGAGGUGCAGGUAUUUGGGGCUUAUUCUUGGUUUUUUAUGUGAGAAGAUGAAAGAGUGUAGUUUUCUCUGCCAACUGCGAAGUUGGGUUGAGGGGAUCCAGAUUGGGAGGGUUUGGAAUAGGUAGGUUAGUUUUGGGAGUGUGAUCAUUUUGAUCAUGGCUAUUUUGUCUGAGAGAGUGAAGUUCAUGUUAUUCCAUCUCUUUAGGUCUUUGUUAAUUUGUCGCCACAGGGGCUUGUAGUUGUGGAGGUACAAUUUAUUGAGGUUUCUGGUUAUUUGUACCCCUAGGUAUCUGAACUUGGUGUGGCAAAGUUUUAUUUUGGUGACCUUCGUGAGUUCUUUUUGGGUGUGAGGAGGGGUGUUGAAGCACAUAGCUUCUGACUUUGUAAAAUUUACCUGUAGGCCC